rnacentral:tRNA from 1 species
GGAGGCGUUUCCCGUCUGGUGACGGGCGCGGUCCUCAAAACCGUCGUGGCCGGGCCACCCGGUCAGGCGGGUUCGAUUCCCGUCCGCCUCCGCCA